ensembl:lncRNA novel transcript
GAAAUGUUUUGUUAGCCAUCAGGCAAACUGAAAAUAGAUUUAGAAAGUAUUUAAGAUUCAUUUUUUCAAUGCACAGUAAUUGAGAAACCUGUAUGUGCCAGGCACUGUGUUAGCACUGGAGCUCUAAAGGGCAGAAGGCUGAAUGUGAUAGAUGGAUCUCUACCUUCAGGGUGCAGUCUAGUAACACAUAGAAGGACUGAGACCAAUAGCCAUGUUGAAGAGGAGACGAUGGUUCUCCCAUCACCUUCAUUACUCCACCUGCUGCUCAUGAAGGUUGCUGCGGGAUGUGCUGAUUAACUUGUGUUUUGGUCGAAAUCUGAAGUGAUGCUGAAUCUUCGUCCUUUAAUGUUGUCUGUUUUAUUGUUGAACAAUUUUAUCAUGCAUCGUGUGAACUUUUAUGCUUAUGGUGUGUAUCAUCACAGCACUGGACAAUAAUGACUCACACAGUAGAAUAACAUAACUGUAUACUUGCAUCAAGGGUAGUUAAAACAUGGUAAGGUUUUCUCAUGUCUUUAUUAAUAAUGAUUAAAAAAUUAAUUAUUCACCUCUGA